CCUCGGGAAGCUCCGGCUGUUUGCAUGGGGAGGAGUCGGCCCCUCCCGUUCCUGUGCGGUAAACGGCAAGUCAGUCUGUGACAUGGGGGCCUGUUGACAGGAGCCACUCUCACUCAGGAGCCCCUCUCACUUUGUUGAGAAUCUUUUUCCUUUUCACCCAAUACAUUCCGUAACUUCUCACCCUUCAAAGUGUCUGCGUGCCUAAUCUUUCCUGGUCGUGUCGCAAGAACCGAGUUUUUCCUACAACAACAAGAGGGAAGUAACCUGGGUCCCUGAAUUUCAUCCGAAGAGCAGCUGCCCUCUGAUCUGAAAUACUCAUUUUGUCUUUAUGUGAGGAAGAUAUAAACUUUCACUGGGGUUCUGUUAAAGACAGCUUCUUCUUGCUUCUCAGAAACACUGGCUGCUCAUCUGGCCCCAAAAUCUGCACAUGGUUCAUUCCUUCAUUUCAUAUAAAGACUACCAAAGACUGCAAGACUCCUCUGCAGAAAGGAGUGUACAAUGGAAGAAACAAUCCUGAGCUGGAAGUCAGAGCCAGGGGUUCUGGUCCCAACACUCC
rnacentral:lncRNA from 1 species